rnacentral:rRNA from 1 species
GACGAACGCUGGCGGCGUGCUUAACACAUGCAAGUCGAACGGAAAGGCCCUGCUUGUGUGGGGUGAUCGAGUGGCGAACGGGUGAGUAACACGUAAGUAACCUGCCCUUGACUUUGGGAUAACUUCAGGAAACGGGAGCUAAUCCCGGAUAGGAGCUCCUGCUCCAUGGUGGGCGUUGGAACGUUUCGGCUGUUGGGGAUGGAUUCGCGGCUUAUCAGCUUGCUGGUGGGGUAGUGGCUUACCAAGGAUGUGACGGGUAGCCGGCCUGAGAGGGUGACCGGCCACAUUGGGACUGAGAUACGGCCCAGUCUCCUACGGGAGGCAGCAGUGGGGAAUAUUGCACAAUGGGCGGAAGCCUGAUGCAGCAACGCCGCGUGCGGGAUGACGGCCUUCGGGUUGUAAACCGCUGUCGCCUGUGACGAAGCGUGAGUGACGGUAAUGGGUAAAGAAGCACCGGCUAACUACGUG